rnacentral:rRNA from 1 species
UACGUAGGUGGCAAGCGUUAUCCGGAUUUACUGGGUGUAAAGGGCGUGUAGGCGGGAGAGCAAGUCAGACGUGAAAUUCCAGGGCUCAACCCUGGAACUGCGUUUGAAACUGUUCUUCUUGAGUGAUGGAGAGGCAGGCGGAAUUCCGUGUGUAGCGGUGAAAUGCGUAGAUAUACGGAGGAACACCAGUGGCGAAGGCGGCCUGCUGGACAUUAACUGACGCUGAGGCGCGAAAGCGUGGGGAGCAAAUAGG